GGGCGGGGGGGGGCGGAUUCGCAAUUCGCGAGCGGAGCCGACCGCUUCCGACUGCGGCGGAUCCAGGCUGGGGCCAGCGCGGCGUCCCCGCCAGACAACCGCUGCCUGCCUAUUGGGCUCGGCUCAGGUGGUUUUAUCUGUUUCUAAUGUAUUCUGGGUACGGCGGCGUCCUGAUCAGAAUCUUAGAGAAAGGCGAGGGAAGGAAAUGCACUCCCUGCUCCACCCCUUUGCAGACCUCGUAAGUGCGGGUGCUGUAGCUGGGGAGCGGGCCGGCGGCUGCACGGAGGGACUCGCGCCCGGCGUCUCUGCCCCUGCCAGCUCCCUCUCCUCUAGCUCCCGGGACCCCAGUUCUUCCUAAACUGCCAAAGCGGAGAGGGAAGGGGUGCUCUGCGGCAGAACAGCUGCUAACGCGAGCUGGCUUUGCAUUUCUGUUCUUCUCCCUCCGGACAGUGGGAGUGAACAAAAGCGACGCCCUCCCAGCAGCGACCCUGAAGGCGGGCAGUGGGUCUGACUACCCGGCUGACUAGCAAAGGGCCCAGGCCCCCUCGGCCUGCUGGGCCCCGCCCCACCCCUCGGCCAAUGCUCGGUCCCCAGGGCCUUGGAGCCCAGUCCCCGGAGCAGAAGACUGAAGCACAUAGGAAAAUGGAAGACAGAAGAGAGGAACGGACAGGGCAGAGUUAGCGCUCCCACCGAGUGACUCCAAAGGAUUCCUAGAAAAGAUGCAGCUUUCAAAGGCGACUGCAGUGAGGAGUAUCUGUGAACAAUUUCAAGAAUCACUUCUGAAGAAAUACCAGUACAGAAAUUAUUAUGAUUUGCAAUCACACCUGUGUGUACUGAACAACAUGACCUGUGAAAUCCUGCAGUAUAUUAUAGAAGAAGCACAUAAGGAGUGAUAUGGCACAUUCUCAAUUGAGGAUAACUUAUGAAAAACAUUUUAUCCAUUGGACACCUCUUCUUUUUUUUUUGAUAAUUUUCAUACAGUCUUAAUCUAGGUUAUCCAUUUCAGUCAUGUAGUUUGAGAGCAUAAAUAUAGCAAUCACAAAACCAAAAGUAUGUUCAAUACUUUGAAAUUAUUAUUGCUAAUUUUCUUGAUCAUUUUCUAAAUAAUGGAUAAUUAAAUAUUUUCAAGUAUCCACUAUACUUUGUACAAAACUGUACAAAAACAGUGAAAUAUAAUCCUUUGCAUAUACACUCACAUAUACACACUCAUAUUUAUAAAUAUCAAAUGGCAAUGAAUGAUGAAAUAUAAAAACACAAGGACAAAGUCCAUUCCUUUGAUAAAAUAGUAUUUCCAAUUUUACAAUGUAUUCCAGCUACCUGUGGUCAUGUACACCUGUAAUCCCAGUACUCAGAAGGCUGAGGCAGGAAGCUCACCAUGAGUUCAAGGGGAGCAUGGGCUACAUAGUGAGUUCAAGGCCAGCCUGAACUACAUAACAAGACCCUACCUUAAAAACAUAUUCAAAUCAAAUCAAAUGCAUUCCAUAGUGGUUUUACUAAUAUACAUUUCCACCUACAGUGUAGCAGGGUUCUUUUGUCCCCACAGCUUUGCCAGUACCAACUAUUUGUUAUUGAUUGUUUGAUGAUAGCCGUUCUUUCAGGAGUGAAAUGAAAUCUCAGUGUUGUCAUUUGCAUUUCUCUAAUGAUCAGUGAUGUUGAACAUUUAUGCGUUUUAUUGGCCAUUUAUGCUUCAUGUAAGAAGUGUCUAUUCAUUUCAGAUGUCCAUCUUUUGAUUGGGUCUUUUAUUUUGGGGGCUCUAAUUUUUUUGAGUUCUUUAUAUGUUAUAAAUGGAGAACUAAAAAAAAAAAACUAAAGUAGAAAUUCCAUCUGAUCCAGCUAUGUGUCUUCUCACAAGAGUGAAAGAUGUCAUAUUGCAGUGAUAUGCAUUAAUAUGUUUAUAGCAGCACAAAUUAUAAUAGCUAAAUCUUGAAUGUUAUAUGUUCAUGAACAGAUGAAUGGUUAAAAACGAUGUGAUAUUUAUAUACAUAAUGAAGUAAUUUUCUGCCAUGAAGAAGGAUAAAACUUGAGUAAUUUGUAGGAAAAUGGAUGCACUUUGAGACCAUAAUGUUAACCAAAAUGAAUCAGACACACAAGCUUAGAUAUUGCAUGAUUUCUCUUAUAUGUGAACCCCAAAAUUCAAAUAAAGAACAAAAGAAUAAAUAGAUAAUAGGAAUGAGAGUGAUCAUUCUUUCUCAAAUGAGAAGGGGGCCAAGAAAUGGAGGGAGGAAAAGAGGGAGGGAAAAUGGUGAAAAUA
ensembl:lncRNA